rnacentral:sRNA from 1 species
UAUUUAUAAUUUUUGAAACUUUGUAAAGUUUCUAUUCUUUAAAAUCAAGAACCCGAGUAAACCGGAUAACCACUUUAAUUUUGGACGCCUGAUAAAUCAAGCUUCCUGCUUAUUCUUAACCGGAAUAAUUUAUAGUAUAGCUCUGAACCAAUGUCCAAUUUUUUAAGCAAUGUGGGACAUUGUACACAUAUUAUUUUUUCAUGAAUUGAAUAAUAUAUGUUCGUUUAAAAAAAUUUGAAUUACAUCAUAUACAGAAAAAAAUAUACUAUUUU